UGGUAGAUGACAAGAUUUCCC
rnacentral:siRNA from 1 species